rnacentral:rRNA from 1 species
GAGUUUGAUCGUGGCUCAGAUUGAACGCUGGCGGCAUGCUUUACACAUGCAAGUCGAACGGUAACAGGUCUUCGGAUGCUGACGAGUGGCGAACGGGUGAGUAAUACAUCGGAACGUGCCUAGUAGUGGGGGAUAACUACUCGAAGAGUAGCUAAUACCGCAUGAGAUCUACGGAUGAAAGCAGGGGACCGUUUGGGUCCGUUGUGCUACUAGAGCGGCUGAUGGCAGAUUAGGUAGGUUGGUGGGGUAAAGGCUUACCAAGCCUGCGAUCUGUAGCUGGUCUGAGAGGACGACCAGCCACACU